rnacentral:tRNA from 1 species
CGUUCUAUGGCCGAAUUGGUAAAGGCAUCGCCGAUCACAGGCAAGGUUGCGGGUUCGAGUCCCGCUGGAACGG